rnacentral:lncRNA from 1 species
UGGGGUGGGCGUGAUGGUGGAGUAACACAUUGCAUUAAAAUUAGUUUUAAAAUGAUAAAAGCUAUUUCAGAUAACUGCCUUAAAUUUCCUACAAUAAUUAAAACUUGGAAUUCGAAGUUUUUGUGUAUUUGUAUACUCCAUCCUACCUUCGUAUAUAGACUUCCAAAGGUUAAUGUCCUAACAGCCGCUACAAUGUUUACUCAUGAAAACCCAGCUAGUAAAUAUUGGUGUUCAGGGCUGCCAGCUUGCCCAGUCCUUGGGGUUCUGUUCACAUAGAACACAAUUCGGAGUUGAUCAAACACUGUUGCACUUUGCUUCAUACUUCAAAACAACUUUCAUUAGGAGCUCACAUGCUGUCACUUAGACAAAAUUAACUCACUGUGACCUUUUUGCUGUUCUUACAUAGUACUGACUCUAGUGUUGUCAUUUCAGUGAGAAUUCAGUCUGUCUGUCUUCGGGAAACGGCUCUAGUUCUAGGCAGUGAGAAGCAGCUCUUUAGCAUCCGCAAAGUGUGCUAUUUUCUCUUCCUUUGACUUGUUCGGAAUACAGUGGUGUGUCCUCAUUUGUUACACGUAUUACCAUAAUAUUAAUGCAUCUUAAUAAAUCAGUUGGAAUAUA